AACAGGAUUAGAUACCCUGGUAGUCCACGCCGUAAACGAUGUCGACUUGGAGGUUGUGCCCUUGAGGCGUGGCCUCCGGAGCUAACGCGUUAAGUCGACCGCCUGGGGAGUACGGCCGCAAGGUUAAAACUCAAAUGAAUUGACGGGGGCCCGCACAAGCGGUGGAGCAUGUGGUUUAAUUCGAUGCAACGCGAAGAACCUUACCUACUCUUGACAUCCAGAGAACUUUCCAGAGAUGGAUCGGUGCCUUCGGGAACUCUGAGACAGGUGCUGCAUGGCUGUCGUCAGCUCGUGUUGUGAAAUGUUGGGUUAAGUCCCGCAACGAGCGCAACCCUUAUCCUUUGUUGCCAGCGGUCCGGCCGGGAACUCAAAGGAGACUGCCAGUGAUAAACUGGAGGAAGGUGGGGAUGACGUCAAGUCAUCAUGGCCCUUACGAGUAGGGCUACACACGUGCUACAAUGGCGCAUACAAAGAGAAGCGACCUCGCGAGAGCAGGCGGACCUCAUAAAGUGCGUCGUAGUCCGGAUUGGAGUCUGCAACUCGACUCCAUGAAGUCGGAAUCGCUAGUAAUCGUGGAUCAGAAUGCCACGGUGAAUACGUUCCCGGGCCUUGUACACACCGCCCGUCACACCAUGGGAGUGGGUUGCAAAAGAAGUAGGUAGCUUAACCUUCGGGAGGGCGCCUACCACUUUGUGAUUCAUGACUGGGGUGAAGUCGUAACAAGGUAACC
rnacentral:rRNA from 1 species